CCUACGGGGGGCAGCAGUGAGGAAUAUUGGUCAAUGGACGGAAGUCUGAACCAGCCAUGCCGCGUGCAGGAAGACGGCCCUAUGAGUUGUAAACUGCUUUUGUACAAGGGUAAACCUGAAUACGUGUAUUCUGCUGAAAGUACUGUACGAAUAAGGAUCGGCGAACCUCGUGCCAGCAGCCGCGGUAAUACGGGGGAUCCAAGCGUUAGCCGGAUUAUUGGGUUUAAAGGGUGCGCAGGCGGAGUGAUAAGUUAGGGGUGAAAUGUCAGAGCUUAACUCGAACUGCCUCUAAUACUGUUGAGCUAGAGAGUAGAUGCGGUAGGCGGAAUGUAUGGUGUAGCGGUGAAAUGCAUAGAGAUCAUACAGAACACCGAUUGCGAAGGCAGCUUACCGAUCUAUGUCUGACGUUGAGGCUCGAAAGCGUGGGGAGCAAACAGGAUUAGAUACCCUAGUAGUC
rnacentral:rRNA from 1 species